ACUCAUACAUUGCUGGGGAAAUAUCGUGGUCAUGAAAGUGGUUUUUCCAGGGUGAGGCUCAUCCAUUGCACUUCAGGUGUGCUGAUCCCUAUGAUUUCCCCAAAUGUGGGAAACUCAAUUACAUAAUUUGUAAUAGUGAGGGAUUGCAUUUGUGCUUUCCCUAG
rnacentral:snRNA from 1 species